GUAAGCGUGACAUCACCGUUCAAAAAGGCUCUCCUAUUCCAAAGCCGAUGCCACCCACAGAGCUCACGAUGCAGGGAGCCGCCCAGAGAGGACCCCCUCGGACCAGCUCCUUUCAGUACAAUUACAGCACAUUUGCUCGCAUCUUCCUUUCCAGCCACAGUGAUGAUUUGCCUACAAGCCCUAUCAAGCGUCACAAGAAAACUUUUGAGACCAAGCUUCUCCCAGACACUAAAGAAAGAGUUGUAAAUCGUCCUGGCCACGGUGAGUAUACAGCAUCUCAGAAGCUGCUUCCCGCAACCCGACUCUGCUUGAGGCAUUUUGCCAUGUGCUGGAGAAACAACAAUGAAAAGAUAACCUCAUCGUGAAACAAAGACAAGCAAAUAAAGUAAUUUCAAAUUAUGGGAACUAUAGCAAAGGAAACGACCAGGGUACUGAGGCUGAGAAUAAUCUCUUAGGCACUGUUGGGAUGGAGAUCAUUUUGAGACAUUUCACCGAUGUGGUUAAACUUGUAGUUCAUAUAUUCCCGAGCUGAAUAAGAUACCACUGGAAGUAUCACACCUUCUCUAGAAAGUCGUCUGGAAGCUUCUGAUAGAGCUGUGUGUUCUCCACCUGAACGCUCGUCCUUCACAUGCCUGAGUGAGUCCUGGGCUUGGCUCUGACACUGCUGGGAGAGCUCAGAGACGUGGCAGUUCCUGCUGUCCUUCGGCUGCAUUGCCGACGCGUGACGGCCAGGCUUCUACAGUGACGUCUUACCAUUUUAGCCCUGCAACAUAGGGUGAUCUUUUUGAAGAUUUUUUAAAGUGACAAUUAAGAUCCAAAUUUAAAUGAAAUCCAACUGUGAACAAUAGUACCAAUGUCAACC
rnacentral:lncRNA from 1 species